AUUGAACGCUGGCGGCGGGCCUAACACAUGCAAGUCGAGCGGAUGAAGGGAGCUUGCUCCUGGAUUCAGCGGCGGACGGGUGAGUAAUGCCUAGGAAUCUGCCUGGUAGUGGGAGAUAACGUCCGGAAACGGGCGCUAAUACCGCAUACGUCCUGAGGGAGAAAGUGGGGGAUCUUCGGACCUCACGCUAUCAGAUGAGCCUAGGUCGGAUUAGCUAGUUGGUGGGGUAAAGGCCUACCAAGGCGACGAUCCGUAACUGGUCUGAGAGGAUGAUCAGUCACACUGGAACUGAGACACGGUCCAGACUCCUACGGGAGGCAGCAGUGGGGAAUAUUGGACAAUGGGCGAAAGCCUGAUCCAGCCAUGCCGCGUGUGUGAAGAAGGUCUUCGGAUUGUAAAGCACUUUAAGUUGGGAGGAAGGGCAGUAAGUUAAUACCUUGCUGUUUUGACGUUACCAACAGAAUAAGCACCGGCUAACUUCGUG
rnacentral:rRNA from 1 species